UGUCGGCUCUUCCUAUCCUAGUGAUGUACAAGUUGCUAAGGGUCGGAUUGUUCACCCGUAUUAGGGAUCGUGAGCUGGGUUUAGACCGUCGUGAGCCAGGUUUGUUUUAUCCUACUGGAUAUAGCAUCAUGAUAGUAGAUUGAUUUAGUACGAGAGGAACUGUUGAUUAUGGCCUCUGGUUAGCGAUUAUCGGAAACGGUAUGUCGCGCAGCUACGCCGUCUGGGAUAAUGGCUGAAAGCCUCUUAAGCCAGAAGCCCAUCUAGAAAGUGAUGCACGUGAUGUUGGACCGAUACGAAUAAUCAUACUCAAAAGGUCCGCUUCAUAGGUAACCCAAUGUAGAAGACAUUGUGUGAACGAAGGUACUGUAAGCAGUGGAGUGGCAUUACGUCCACGACCUGUUGAGGUUCAGCUUCGCUUCUAGGUUUCC
rnacentral:ncRNA from 1 species